rnacentral:rRNA from 1 species
UUGGCCGCUCGAGCCGUCGACUUUUGGUUCCGCGAGCGGACCGUUCGGCGCGAGCGCAGCCUUUCCCUGCGACGCAUUUGUUUUCCUCCCGAAGGACGCCGCAACCGGUUGGGAGACGGCCUGAAAGUCGAGCGACGGCAGGUGGCCGGUGGCUUCGCUUCGGCGUGGUCGCCGGUGUCUAGCCGGCUCCUCACACGGCACGUAGCCCGACCGUGGUGUCGCGAAGCCCGCUCAUGGGCUUCACCGCCUCCUCUCGUAAAAGAGACGCGCACUGGACGCGGCAGUGGCUCUUCACGGCGGCAGGCGCACAGACUGACUCUGUGGCCAGCUGCCUGGAGUCCUCGUUGGCCGCGCGAGAUGCGUUGGAGGCUGGCGGUUGGCGGCGAGUAGAUCGGUCACCCAUCCGACCCGUCUUGAAACACGGACCAAGGAGUCUAACAUGUGUGCGAGUCAAUGGGUCUCGAAUAAGCCCAGAGGCGCAAUGAAAGCAAAGAUCGGACUCGAUUCCGGUCGAGUUGGGAUCCCCGAGCCUUCGAGCUGGGGGCGCACCAACGACCCGUCCUAUCCGAUUCAUCGGUUGGGCGGAGUCUGAGCAUACACGUUGGGACCCGAAAGAUGGUGACCUAUGCCCGGGCAGGACGAGGCCAGAGGAAACUCUGGUGGAGGUCCGCAGCGGUUCUGACGUGCAAAUCGA